AGUGAACGCUGGCGGUAGGCCUAACACAUGCAAGUCGAACGGCAGCACAGUAAGAGCUUGCUCUUACGGGUGGCGAGUGGCGGACGGGUGAGGAAUACAUCGGAAUCUACUUUUUCGUGGGGGAUAACGUAGGGAAACUUACGCUAAUACCGCAUACGACUUACGGGUGAAAGCAGGGGAUCUUCGGACCUUGCGCGAUUGAAUGAGCCGAUGUCGGAUUAGCUAGUUGGCGGGGUAAAGGCCCACCAAGGCGACGAUCCGUAGCUGGUCUGAGAGGAUGAUCAGCCACACUGGAACUUAGACACGGUCCAGACUCCUACGGGAGGCAGCAGUGGGGAAUAUUGGACAAUGGGCGCAAGCCUGAUCCAGCCAUACCGCGUGGGUGAAGAAGGCCUUCGGGUUGUAAAGCCCUUUUGUUGGGGAAGAAAAGCAGCAGGUUAAUACCCCGCUGUUCUGACGGUACCCAAAGAAUAAGCACCGGCUAACUUCGUG
rnacentral:rRNA from 1 species